UCUCCAUGACGUUGCUCAGUGAGAGUGUCCCGAUGGCCAAGCGGAACCUGGUCGUGCUACUAGUCACCAGUAUCUUCAUGCUGGCACAGGGUCUAAUGGCUGUAAUUGCCAUACCCAUAAUACCACUGUCGUUCUCCUACCAUCUACCCUCUCUUGGAAUAUUCUGGAACUCCUGGCGCACCAUUAUUGUUGUCUACUCCUUUCCCAGCCUCAUUUGUUUGUGCUGGAUGUACUUCAUUGAAGAGAGCCCUAAAUUCGUCUUUAUGAAGGAAUCCGAAGGUAGAGCCAUUGAGAUAUUGAAGGCUAUACAUAAAAUGAACAAUAAACAAGGGAAAAUAUUUGAUGUUUAAGGCAUCAUCCGAGCAGAAGAAAAUAAAGACUUACCGGUGUCAGCGAAGGAGCAGAUCAGACCUUUAUUCAGGACACCGUUGGUGAAGACCGUCCUCAUAUUGAUCACGCUGAAUGUG
rnacentral:lncRNA from 1 species